GACGAACGCUGGCGGCGUGCCUAAUACAUGCAAGUAGAACGCUGAAGGAGGAGCUUGCUUCUCUGGAUGAGUUGCGAACGGGUGAGUAACGCGUAGGUAACCUGCCUGGUAGCGGGGGAUAACUAUUGGAAACGAUAGCUAAUACCGCAUAACAGUAGAUAUCGCAUGAUAUCUACUUGAAAGGUGCAAUUGCAUCACUACCAGAUGGACCUGCGUUGUAUUAGCUAGUUGGUGAGGUAACGGCUCACCAAGGCGACGAUACAUAGCCGACCUGAGAGGGUGAUCGGCCACACUGGGACUGAGACACGGCCCAGACUCCUGCGGGAGGCAGCAGUAGGGAAUCUUCGGCAAUGGACGGAAGUCUGACCGAGCAACGCCGCGUGAGUGAAGAAGGUUUUCGGAUCGUAAAGCUCUGUUGUAAGAGAAGAACGAGUGUGAGAGUGGAAAGUUCACACUGUGACGGUAUCUUACCAGAAAGGGACGGCUAACUACGUG
rnacentral:rRNA from 1 species